rnacentral:tRNA from 1 species
GCGAGUGUGGUGGAAUUGGUAGACACCCAGGUCUUAGAAGCCUGUGCCCACAAGGCGUCGCGGUUCGAGUCCGCGCACUCGCACCA